GUGCUCGCUUUGGCAGCACAAAGACUAAAAUUGGAACCAUACAGAGAUUAGCCUGGCCCCUGCACAAGGAUGACACGCAAAUUUGUGAGGUGUUCCGUAUUAAA